AAUGAACGCUGGCGGCAGGCCUAAAACAUGCAAGUCGAACGGUAACAGGUCUUCGGAUGCUGACGAGUGGCGCACGGGUGAGUAACACGUGGGAAUAUGCCUUUUGGUACGGAACAACAGUUGGAAACGACUGCUAAUACCGUAUGGUCCCUUCGGGGUAAAGAUUUAUCGCCAAAAGAUUAGCCCGCGCUGGAUUAGCUAGUUGGUAUGGUAAUGGCCUACCAAUGCUACGAUCUAUAGCUGGUCUGAGAGGAUGAUCAGCCACACUGGAACUGAGACACGGUCCAGACUCCUACGGGAGGCAGCAGUUAGGAAUAUUGGACAAUGGGCGCAAGCCUGAUCCAGCCAUGCCGCGUGAGUGAUGAAGGCCUUCGGGUUGUAAAGCUCUUUAGCCGACGAGUAUAAUGACUGUAGUCGGAAAAUAAGCCCCGGCUAACUUCGUGCCAGCAGCCGCAGUAA
rnacentral:rRNA from 1 species